rnacentral:lncRNA from 1 species
UAACACCCUAAACCCCAAAACGCAAAAUAAAGCGAAUAUACAACAACUACACACAUAAGGUGUCACUCAAAACACAACAGAAACCUGCUCUAUAACACGGGUUAUUCAAAACAUACAAUAAAUAAAACACUUGUCACCACAUGCUCACCUUUACAUAAGGUGUUACUCAAAACACAACAAAAACCUACUCUGUAACACGGGUUAUUCAAAACAUACAAUAAAUAAAACACCUGUCACCACAUGCUCACAUUUACAUAGGUUCAUCGCAACAGAAUAGUCCAUUUUAAAAUAAUUCAACAACCAAGGAUGUCUAACAACAUCAACAUAGUUAAGACAAAUGCCUUAAACAUAAACAACAUUAAAAUCCAAUGCAAAAACAAACGUUCG